GGGCCCUUAGCUCAGUUGGUCAGAGCGGUCGGCUCAUAACCGAUUGGUCGUAGGUUCGAGUCCUACAGGGCCCA
rfam:Brevibacillus panacihumi W25 genomic scaffold Scaffold2, whole genome shotgun sequence.